AUACGUAGGGGGCGAGCGUUGUCCGGAAUGAUUGGGCGUAAAGGGCGCGUAGGCGGCCCGGUAAGUCUGGAGUGAAAGUCCUGUUUUUAAGAUGGGAAUUGCUUUGGAUACUGUCGGGCUUGAGUGCAGGAGAGGUAAGUGGAAUUCCCAGUGUAGCGGUGAAAUGCGUAGAGAUUGGGAGGAACACCAGUGGCGAAGGCGACUUACUGGACGGUAACUGACGCUGAGGCGCGAAAGUGUGGGGAGCAAACAGGAUGAGAUACCCUAGUAGUCCACGCCGUAAACGAUGAGUACUAAGUGUCGGGUAACCGGUGCUGAAGUUAACACAUUAAGUACUCCGCCUGAGUAGUACGGUCGCAAGGCUGAAACUCAAAUGAAUUGACGGGG
rnacentral:rRNA from 1 species